rnacentral:tRNA from 1 species
UUCCUGGUGGCUCAGACUGUACAGAAUCUGCUUUCAAUGCAGGAGACCUGGGUUUGAUCCUUGGUCAGGAAA